UUCCUGUCCUGUCAUAAUAACAAACUGUUGGGUAGAGUUCCAAUGAAUUCUUUAAUGAUACUCAGAGGAUUCGAACUGACAACCUGUAGCGUCAAAUUUGCUCCCAUGCAAUUCUCAAGCUUCCAGCGCAACAAUUGUUUAGAAAGUCAUUAUUUUUUUCAACUCAAAACAUCGCUUUGUGGUGAUUUUUAGUGGUGCUCAGGGUUCCUUUCAGCGUUGUCAAUGUUUCUGUAGAGGGAAAAGGAGAAUGGUGUAAUGGAGAAGGGAGGAAACGACAUGAUCUUCCAUGCAUCACAUUAUGGUAGAGAAACGGCGCAUUCUUAUCAUCAGAUGUCGAAUUCAUCAGUUGGAUUCGAUUUGGGAGACUUUCCCACCUCAUGUCUCCAUAAAUUUACAUGUUUUUCCAGAGCUAUUUCGGACACAAUAAGGCUUUUCUAUCACAUGGCACUUUUUCUCUCCCAGACCCAUGCAUAGGAAAUAUGUGUUUUCUUUGGUGAUAUUUACCUGUGACUGUUUUUACAAUCCUUCAACAGCAUUUUUGGAUGAUGCUUUUGCUCAGUGGCUUUAGGCAUUUUUAU